GUCUACGGCCAUAUCACCCUGAAUGCAUCUGAUCUCGGAAGCUAAGCAGGGUCUGGCCUGGUUAGUACUUGGAUGGGAGAAGAGAAAUCAUCUCAAAGCUU
rnacentral:rRNA from 1 species